rnacentral:lncRNA from 1 species
UAGAUUCCUCGUUUUUAUAAGAGUCAAUCUCUUUUAGUAAUCUUGACUAAUUUUCCUAUCCCUAUCGGUUGAUCAUUUACUUUUACCGCAAAUAGAAUCCUUUGAACUUUGCCUAUAAUAAAGUCUAUCUUUAGAGCCUCCUACGAUAUUUGUCGACGUCGAGACCAGCUAGUUGGAAGGACUCAAAAUCUUCUAAUAAUUGAGCCAGAUCUCUGCUUCUACUACUCUCGCCACAGGGGCGAUACGAGUGCAAAAAUAAAAGUAGCGGAAGGAAGUCUCAAUUAUAGUUCCACAAAAAUCACACAAAGUCGACAAAGAUAAUCGAUAUUGCUAAUUUAUAUAGCAUAAUAACUUGCUUUGUUCACAAAAAGGAUUUUGGAAUACCAUGCGUGGAUUCAUGUAUGAAGAGCUCCAGUCGAGACCAAUCCUCUCCAUUCUUCUCCUCACGAGGACUACAGGGCAGCUCACGGCGAAGAAAAAUGGAAUCGGAGGCCCGUUUGAGACAUGGCCCCCAGGCUGUGGGAAACUUUUUUUGAGCCCUCCUAAAUAUUAUUAUGUCCUUCAAGCCCACUUCCUCCUGGCAGAGGAGUUGACAAGCUGAAUAUAAGUCGACCUCCUUAGCAAACUCAUCUCUACUCCUCAUUCUCGGGUUAAAAUUUACGGAUCAUUAGGGCUGAGAAGGGGAAACAGAAUUGGAAAUACCGGCCCAUGAUGAUCCCAUGUCUUGCCAAUACGGUCUUGAUCUUUUGGUCACCGAAAGGAAGAGUUGGUCCCAUACAUACUCCAUUCCAGAAGUUGUAUUCAGUAACUUCUAUGAACUUUUCUUCAUUUCUUUUAGCCCAGAAAUCCACAAUAAAGGAGUUUUUUUGAUCCAGGAGAAGUUUAAUGUUUGGUACGAAGACUAAAUGUCUAGAGAUCCAAGUCCCCAGCCGUUUUUCGGAGUAUUAACUUUAUUUCUUGCUAUGUACGCCCUCGAAAGUUUCCAAACCAGAUCGUUCCUAAUCUGAUAUACUCCAUCACAUAUUUAGACUGAGAUUGGGACGUACCUCAUACGAUGAAAAACUUUUGAAAGGACGUUAAUGUUUCAUGCUAUCAGUACUUUGUAUCGAGAGAGGGGAGUGAUCCUAUAAAUCAUAGUACCUUUUUGGAGCAUAUUCAUUUUUUUAUUUUCGUUCUUCUUUCUAGCCUCAUAGUUGGACAAAGCAACUGCAAUUCCAAGUGGAGAGGUCGACCUAACGAACGUAAAGUUUUCAAGGUGUGGCCUCAGGCAUUCUUUACAGGUCCACAAAAUUUUGGUUUUCCCAAGAUUAAUAGUAAGUUUUGACUUCCUCCCGAUAAUCUGGAGCACCUCCAUGGAAGAAUUAAUAGAUUUCAGUAAGUCAUUUUCACACCCUGUAAGAAAUACAACCUUCAAUACUCGAAUCAUUCGUAAACAUCUCGCAUAUUCUGUUCAUUGAUAUGAUGAAAAGAGACUGCGAAAGUUAAUCACCCUGCCGAGCUCAUGUUCUGAUCCAAAAUUUUGUUGAUCUACUCGCUCCUGGUAAAUCAAUCUUUGACUAAGCACUUCGUAAAAGCCCUGACAUCAUUUUUACGGAAGCAUUAGGGAAGUCAUACCUGAAAAGUUGCUCUAUUAUGAACUUAUGAGACAAUGUGUCAUAGGCUUUUUCAAAAUCGACGAGAAGUGCUGCAUAUUUUGUUUUAGUGUGCAUGCAAUAAUCAAUAGCGUUCUGAAACGACCUGGGAAUGUCCUCUAGACGUUGAGACUUCAUGAAGCCAUUCUGUGCUAGGGAUAUAAUAUGAGAGAGGAAUGUUGUAUAUUUUUAUUAUUAGUUAUUAUUUUAGUUUUUAUAAUGAGAUCAUGCAUAAAAUGAACAUAUGAAAAUGUUGUUAAUUAAAAUAUAAAGUCAAAUUAUAUUAUAAA